rnacentral:rRNA from 1 species
CUUCCGUAGGGUGAACCUGCGGAAGGAUCAUUACACACUGCGCGAUACCUGCUGAAACAGCAGGUAUUAGCACAGCCAACCCUUGUCUAUUACUACCAUUCGUGAAUCCCUCGGCAGGGACGCCUGCCGCCGGGACCCCUAAACUCUACUGUAUACAAGCAUCAAAACAUUCUGAAUCAAAAACAAUUAUUACAACUUUCAACAAUGGAUCUCUUGGUUCUGGCAUCGAUGAAGAACGCAGCGAAAUGCGAUAAGUAGUGUGAAUUGCAGACUUUAGUGAAUCAUCGAAUCUUUGAACGCACAUUGCGCCCCUUGGUAUUCCAUUGGGCAUGCCUGUUCGAGCGUCAUUUAACCUCUCAAGCAUUGCUUGGUGUUGGGCGUUUGUCUGCGAAAUCAGCGUGGACUCGCCCCAAAAACAUUGGCAGCGGCUUGCCAGCCUCUCGCGCAGCACAUUGCGCUCCUCGAGGCUUUUGGCGGGCUUGCGUCCAUCAAGAUCACCCUCAGUUGACCUCGAAUCAGGGAGGGGAAUCCCGGUCCUC